rnacentral:lncRNA from 1 species
AUGGCGGGCUUUCAAAAGCUCCAAACAUAUGUGGACGGUUUUAAGCCUUGCAAGGUCAUGACCAGCUUAGGGGAGGUCGCUUUGGACAAGCGUGGUAAACCGAGGAUCGAGCCUCGUUUUGUUAAUACCAAGCUAUUGUUGUCGUGCAAGACUGUUUUGGCCGAGGACACUCUGCUGGGUAUCUGUUUUUCUGCAUGCCCGUCUUUUACUUGUAAUAAAUUUCAGUAUUUUAUGUUUGAUUUCUCCCCGUGAUUCUGACCACGUUUUUAACUUUGCAGGUAGGAUGGCAGAUCUUGCUAGUGAGCUUGUCAGGAUAGCUGCUGAACAGAAAGGAGAGAAGGCUAGGAAAAAGGCGAGGAGGGCCAAGCCAACCAUUUUGAUGGGCGAUCAGGGUGCCUCGGGGAGCGUCUCCCAAUCUUCCCCGGUAGGCAGUUCAGCUGGGACUCCGGGUGGUCGUUCGAAGAGGCAGCGGGAGGAGCAGAUGACGCCCAUCGUCGACUUGUCGGAGGGGGACGGUGGCUUUGUCCUCCCCGCGUGUUUGAGCAACCGGUGCUUUUUUGACAAAAAUCCCCUCCAGGUGCCUGCAUCGGAGAAGAAUUAUAUACUGGGCGCUUCUG